ACGAACGCUGGCGGCGUGCUUAACACAUGCAAGUCGAACGCUGAACCCGCUUCGGUGGGGGAUGAGUGGCGAAUGGGUGAGUAACACGUGGGCAACCUGCCCCCGGCUCUGGGAUAACUCCAAGAAAUUGGGGCUAAUACCGGAUGUGACCGCUGGCCGCAUGGUCUGGUGGUGGAAAGGGUUUCCGGCUGGGGAUGGGCCCGCGGCCUAUCAGCUUGUUGGUGGGGUAGUGGCCUACCAAGGCGACGACGGGUAGCCGGCCUGAGAGGGUGACCGGCCACACUGGGACUGAGACACGGCCCAGACUCCUACGGGAGGCAGCAGUGGGGAAUAUUGCGCAAUGGGCGGAAGCCUGACGCAGCGACGCCGCGUGGGGGAUGACGGCCUUCGGGUUGUAAACCUCUUUCAGCAGGGACGAAGCGCAAGUGACGGUACCUGCAGAAGAAGCACCGGCCAACUACGUG
rnacentral:rRNA from 1 species